rnacentral:rRNA from 1 species
ACGUAUGGAGCAAGCGUUAUCCGGAUUUACUGGGUGUAAAGGGAGCGUAGGCGGUCUUAUAAGUCUGAUGUGAAAGCCCGGGGCUCAACCCCGGGACUGCAUUGGAAACUGUAGGACUAGAGUGUCGGAGGGGUAAGUGGAAUUCCUAGUGUAGCGGUGAAAUGCGUAGAUAUUAGGAGGAACACCAGUGGCGAAGGCGGCUUACUGGACGACUACUGACGCUGAGGCUCGAAAGCGUGGGGAGCAAACAG